AACAUCGAGUGCCUCCACGGCCACAGAAACAUGGAGUGACUCCACGGCCACAGAAACAUCGAGUGACUCCACGCCCACAGAAACAUCGAGUGACUCCACGCCCACAGAAACAUCGAGUGACUCCACGCCCACAGAAACAUCGAGUGACUCCACGCCCACAGAAACAUCGAGUGACUCCACGCCCACAGAAACAUCGAGUGACUCCACGCCCACAGAAACAUCGAGUGAUUCCACGCCCACAAACUCAUCUGAUGCUCCAACUUCCACAAACGCAACAACAUCAGGACCCCCUACUUGUGCUGACCAACCAUGUGCAUAUGCUGCUGCAUGUAUCGAUCUGUUCCAAAGCUUUUCAUGCCAAUGUCCUUAUGGAUUUUACUAUAAGAACACAUCAGGUUGCCAACAAGGUGAGUUGUGCAUUUAUUUAUCUCUCGUGUGGCUCUGUUCAAAUGAAUAGAAAUGCUUCUGUUACGAUGCUUCUGCUUUAGUGAAUGCUGAACAUGUCUGAAGAAAACACUAAUAUGCAUCCAUUCACCAAUGCCUAGCAUUCUCUCUCUUUCUUAACACAAAUCCUAGAAUCAUGAAUUUUCUUCUGUUUCUUGUCUAACUCAGGACAAUAUAUCCUUUUCAAAACAAGCAUACAUUGACAAAUUUCAAGUCUAGCGUGUAGCUACAGCUAAUACAGGGCUGAUUUUCCAGACGUUAUAUGACUAAUAUAAGAUCCAUUGUAAUUUUAGGCAAAGUAUUUCCAGGAGAAUUCACUCUGAUGCAACCAUAUAAUCCAGCUAUGGAAAAUAUUCAGUCUGAAGUUUAUGCAGCUUUGUACCACAAUGUCACCAACAUUUUCAGUGAAAUAUUCAAAGAUGAGAAAAGUUACCAGGAAACAAUAAUCAUAAGCAUAAAGUAAGUACGGCAAGUUUAAUA